rnacentral:rRNA from 1 species
GAGAUCAGCGAUGGAAAUUGGUUUAACAUUACCAAGCCGGCUGCAGUUUGUGUACCAGGCGCCUGUCGAGCCUCUGUAAGCCUUAAUGAAUUGGCAGGCCCGUAUUUAUACGGGCCGCGCAGAGCGCAGAAUGGGCCUAGAAAACCCGGUGCCCUUACACUGCAGUCGUCCGUACCGCAAUCCAACACAGGUGGGUGGGCUGAAUAUGCCAUGGCGUAAGAGUGAACCCUUGUUAAGGAACUCUGCAAUCUAGUCCCGUAACUUCGGAAGAAGGGAUGCCCACUCCGGUGGGCCGCAGUGAACUGGGUCAACCGACUGUUUAUCAAAAACACAGCAUUGUGCCAAGACGAAAGUCUAAGUAUACGAUGUGACACGUGACCAAUGCGGAAAGAUUAAGGUGAGGGGUUAGCGCAAGCGAAGCUCUCAACCAAGUCCCCGUGAAUGUCGGCCGUAACAAUAACGGUCCUAAGGUAGCGAAAUUCCUUGUCGGGUAAGUUCCGACCUGCACGAAUCGUGUAACGAGUUGACCGCUGUCUCAACAAGGCGCUCAGUGAAUUUGUAAUGGCGGUGCAGAUGCCGCCUACCCGCAGAAGGACGGAAAGACCCUAUGCACCUUAACUGUAAGCUGUCACUGAAUUAUUGAACUGCAUGCUCAGCAUAAGUGGGAGGCUUUGAUGGUUGCCUUUAGGGGCAACUGGAGCCAACAGUGAGAUACCACCCUUGCAUUUCGAUGACUCUAACUGACCAAGUGUCUAAACACCGUCAGGACCAUGCCAGCCGGUCAGUUUUACUGGGGCGGUAUCCUCCCAAAAAGUAACGGAGGAGUGCGAUGGUGCGCUCGGCACGGUUUGUAAUCGUGUGUCGAGUAUAUAGGCAAAAGCGCGCCUAACUGUGAGACCAACAAGUCGAGCAGAUACGAAAGUAGGCCUAAGUGAUCCGGCGGCUUAAAGUGGAAUUGCCGUCGCUUAACGGAUAAAAGGUACGCUAGGGAUAACAGGCUGAUUUGACCCAAGAGUUCAUAUCGACGGUUAAGUUUGGCACCUCGAUGUCGGCUCGUCGCAUCCUGGGGCUGAAGAAGGUCCCAAGGGUCUGGCUGUUCGCCAGUUAAAGCGGCACGCGAGCUGGGUUCAGAACGUCGCGAGACAGUUCGGUCCUCUAUCCUCUGUGGGCGCAAUAGAAUUGAGGGGUUUACUUCUUAGUACGAGAGGACCGGAAGUAACACACCAAUAGUGCUUCAGUUGUCGCAUUCAUGGGCAUUGCUGAAUAGCCAAGUGUGGAAAGGAUAAGCGCUGAAAGCAUCUAAGCGCCAAGCCUAUCCCAAGAUGAAUUCUUUAAUAUAUCGUGGUAGACUACCACGUCGAUAGGGUGACCAUGUAACUGGUGUAAAUCAGGAGUGGAUCACUACUAAUAUAUAUCGA